UCAUGUGGAUCCAGGUACGAACUACAGAUGGGAAGGAGACCCACACUGUGAACUCUCUGUCCAGGUUGACCAAGGUGCAGGAGCUGAGGAAAAUGAUUGAGGAACUGUUUCGCAUGGAACCCCAACUGCAGAGAGACUUUUACAGGGCAAACAGAUGGAGGACGGCCACACACUUCGAUUAUGAUGUGCGCAAUCCAGCUGCUUAUGCGUCAGUCUGGCACUGCCUCACAGUACAAAAGAACAGGAGUCGGAGCUCAGACUCUGGCUAUGGUGUGGGUCACAGUGAAUCAGACAAGUCGUCCACGCAUGGUGAAGGGGCAGCUGAAGCUGAUGACAAGACUGUGGGGGAGGACACGGACCUGGGGCUGUACAAGGUUAAUUGAGUAUGUGGACGUGCGUGGCAAUAUCAUCGGUGCAUGGUUUGAGGCCCAGGUGGUCCAGGUACAGAAGAGAGCCCUAUCUGAGGAAGAGCCCUGUAGCUCCAGUGCCAUUACGACCUCGGAGGAUGACAUCAUGUAAACUAUCCAGAGCAUGGAGAGGACGUUGUCAAAGCCAAGAAUGUUCAUGCUCGAGCUCGCACUGUGAUCCCGUGGGAGAACCUGGAGGUGUGUCGGGUGGUCAUGGUCACCUACAAAGUGGACUACCCCAGGAAACGUGGCUAAUGGUAUGAUGUUGAGAUCUGUAGGAAGCGCCAAACCAGGAUGGCACGUGAGCUAUACGGCAACAUCACACUCUUGAAUGAUUCUCGCUCAACAACUGUUGGAUCGUAUUUGUGGAUGAAGUCUUGAAGAUUGAGCUCCCUAACAAGAGGAGCCCCUUGAUCGAUAGCUCCUCACAACCUCCUCCUGCCCUCCGGAACACAGGGAAGAUCGGCCCAUCCUGCCGGCACUGCAAGGAUAAUGAAAACAAACCAUGUCGCAAGUGCCACGUGUGUGGUGGGUGUGAGGCUCCCGAGAAACAGGUGUUGUGUGAUGAGUGUGACAUGGCCUCCCACCUGUACUGCCUGAAGCCACAGCUUACCUGUGUCCCUCCUGAGCUGGAAUGGCACUGCCCCAGCUGCCGAACUGACUCCAGCGAGGUGGUACAAGCAGGGGAGAAGCUGAAGGAAAGCAAGGAGGAGGCUAAGAUUCCUCCUAUGGUGCCAUCGCCUUCGUUGAGAUAACACAGAGCCCGAGCCCUGGACCCGGGAAGGCAAGGACCGCACUCAGGCCCUGGGGCUCACUAUGCAGUACCCUGAAGGCUACUUGGAGACCUUGGCUAACAAGGAGAACAGGAAGCACCCGGCCAAGGCCUUGGAGCAGGGACCCUCAUCUUCCAAAAUAGGCAAAAGCAAUCGGCAGUCCACAGGCUCAACCACCCCCAGCCCCCGUGUCUCUAAGAAGAGCAAGCUGGAGCCAUACACACUACCAGUGCAGCAGGCCAACCUCAUCAAAGAGGAGAAGGGCAACGCCAAGCUGUGGGAUGAUGUGCUAAGUUCAUUUUAGGUUGGGUCCCAGAUCUCCUGAGCAAGGUGAGAGAAGCUUUCCAGUGCAUCUGCUGCCAGGAGCUGGUGUUCCGGCCAGUCAUCACCGUGUCAGCAACCUUUGUAAGAACUGUCUGGACAGGUCCUUCCGGCCCAAGUGUUCAGCUGCGCAGCCUGUCGCUACGAGCUGGACCACAGCUCCCCAGCCCGGGUGAACCAGCCCUUGCAGACCGUUCUCAACAAGCUCUUCCCUGGCUAUGGCAGCGGCUG
rnacentral:lncRNA from 1 species